UCCCUGGUGGUCCAGUGGCUAAGACUCUGUGCUACCAAUGCAGGGAGUCAGGGUUCGAUCCCCGGACAGGGGA
rnacentral:tRNA from 1 species